rnacentral:rRNA from 1 species
UACGUAGGGCGCAAGCGUUAAUCGGAAUUACUAGGGCGUAACGUGCGCAGGCGGUUUUGUAAGUCUGUCGUGAAAGCCCCGGGCUCAACCUGGGAAUUGCGAUGGAGACUGCAAGGCUUGAAUCUGGCAGAGGGGGGUAGAAUUCCACGUGUAGCAGUGAAAUGCGUAGAGAUGUGGAGGAACACCGAUGGCGAAGGCAGCCCCCUGGGUCAAGAUUGACGCUCGAUGCACGAAAGCGUGGGGAGCAA